rnacentral:rRNA from 1 species
GAUGAACGCUGGCGGCGUGCCUAACACAUGCAAGUCGAGCGGCAGCGAGGGGUGCUUGCACCCUGUCGGCGAGCGGCGGACGGCUGAGUAACGCGUGGGAACGUGCCCCAAAGUGAUGAAUAACUUCCCGAAAGGGUAGCUAAUACCGCAUAUUAUCUUCUGAUCACAGGAUUUAUACGAUUUGGGAGCGGCUCGCGUCGGAUUAGGUCGUUGGUGAGGUAAUGGCUCACCAAGCCGACUAUCCGUAUCUGGUCUGAGAGGAUGACCAGACAGACUGGAACUGAGAAACGGUACAGAAUCCGACGGGAAGCAGCAGUGAGGAAUAUAACAAAAUGGGCGAAAGCAUGAUGGAGCAACGACGCGAGAAGGACGAAGGCAUUCGGGUUGUAAACUGCUUUUAAAAGUGAGGAAUAUGACGGUAACUAAUGAAUAAGGAACGGCUAACUACGUG